ACACACACACACACGCCUUCCAUCACUCUCGCCCCUCUGCUCUUGGCGUGAGGUCGGGACAUUGCUGUCCCUUACAUCUCCCUCGCCUCCUGGAACUCCUGAACGCUUACAGGAGGGACCGCUGGGCACCAAGACAGCUGUGGGUACGUGAGUGGUAGUGGUGUUGCCAGGGAAUUGAGUGGUGACUUGAAGCGAUGCAUGUAGCAGUCAAGCCGGAAAGACGUAAGAGCCCUUGAAGUUUAUCCAGAAGUCCCAGCAUUCAGUGAUCUCCCAGGUGAAGGCAUAUAAGGCCUUAGGUAUGAUGGUGGUGCUUCUAGGAGACAAAGUGGCCCCAAGCACUUGAAUGGAUCUGAUUAUUGCUGAUAGAUAAUAUCCAGAACAGAAGAUAGGCAGACCAUUAUGAGUAGUACAGCCCAGCCCAGCUUGACCAUUCACAGGGAGGGGAAGACUUGAAAGAUUCUCCCAGUUCUUCCCAACAUCAGGCAGACAGAACCUUUCCCUUUGCUGGGCUGAAC